rnacentral:sRNA from 1 species
CUAUUAAUGAUACGUCUAUAAAGUUCUCUCAGUUAUCUUUCGAUAUUCUUCGUAUAGCUCCUGCGACAGCUCCUCUCGAUAGUCCAUGUAAUAGCUUUUGUUAUCAGCACACUUAUAACUCGUAAAUAUUGAAAAUCUAGAGGUCUCUAUGUCUAACAAAUCGACUGGUUCUGUAAAAUGGUUCAACGAAACUAAAGGUUUUGGUUUCAUCACUCAAGACAACGGCGGCAAAGAUGUAUUCGUACACUUCGCUUCAAUCGUUUCUGAAGGUUUCAAAACUCUGGCUGAAGGCCAGCGUGUAAGCUUCGACGUUGAGCAGGGCAAAAAAGGCCCACAAGCUGCAAACGUAGUAGCACUAUAAUUCC